UACAGAGGGUGCAAGCGUUGUUCGGAAUUACUGGGCGUAAAGCGCGUGUAGGCUGCGGUGUAAGUCGGACGUGAAAGCCCUUGGCUUAACCAAGGAAGUGCGUCCGAUACUGCGUCGCUUGAGUGUCGGAGGGGGCGGCGGAAUUCCCGGUGUAGAGGUGAAAUUCGUAGAUAUCGGGAGGAACACCGGUGGCGAAGGCGGGUCUCUGGGCCGAUACUGACGCUGAGGAGCGAAAGCGUGGGGAGCGAACAGG
rnacentral:rRNA from 1 species